AUGGGUGAAGCGGUCGGCGGUUCCAAGCUCACACGAUCAAAAAUCAGAUGGCCCAUAGACAAAAACAUUAGAUGAAUGAUGAUUGGACCGAGACAUUCGAAAUCCAAUGAAAUCUGGUCCAUGCAUGGUUCUUGAUCUUAUUUGGUCACGAACAAAAAAGUCCUCCAUUUUCAUUUUAGUUUUUUCACUCCAACAAAUUAAAACCUGCUUUUUUUCUUGUCAUGUUCCCGUUCACCAAAUCACUGCAUUUAUUUUCAUUAUUUUUUUGGACCGUGCUUAUAGAUUAAGCCAUCUUCCAAAUCGGCUACCAAAA